rnacentral:rRNA from 1 species
UACAGAGGUCUCAAGCGUUGUUCGGAUUCAUUGGGCGUAAAGGGUGCGUAGGCGGCGCGGUAAGUCGGGUGUGAAAUCUCGGAGCUUAACUCCGAAACUGCAUUCGAUACUGCCGUGCUUGAGGCCGGGAGAGGUGAGUGGAAUUCCCAGUGUAGCGGUGAAAUGCGUAGAUAUUGGGGAGGAACACCAGUGGCGAAGGCGGCUCACUGGACCGGUUCUGACGCUGAGGCGCGAAAGCGUGGGGAGCAAACGGG